GAGAAUUUUAUUACGAAAUAAAAUUUCAAAUUUGCUAAUUUUGGUAAAUGUUAUUAUAAAAGAGGCCUAAAAUCCUACUUUUUUCAUUCAGAUUUACUAUCAAUCAACCUUUUAAUGUUUCGGCAUCGUCAUUAUAUCAUUUCCACUCAUGUAGGAUUAACAAGGAAGACGAUGGGGUUCCCUUUGGUGCAUGGCUGUCCCGAACAGAAGCCACAAAAACAAUGAUCAAUGUUGUUUUCUUGUGAUAUAAAAGUCAUGAAGCCAUGUAAAGUAGUUUCUAGGUUAUGUUACCCACCGCCAUGUGCAAUCUUUAUUUUUCUUUAUUAUUUGUGAUCGGAUAAAGAAGCAUGUAGCUAGAAAAUAUUAACAGACAACAAUAUGACCAAUGUGUAACCUUUAUCACAACCUUGUUGGCUGUUGCGGUUUAAGAGUAUGUAAAGACAACAACAUUUACACUUUGCACGUUGUCUUUUUGUUUCCUCACCGCCAUGUGCGAUCUUUAUUUUUCUUAAUUAUUUGCGAUCUGAUGAAGAAGCAAGUAGCUAGAAAAUAUUAACAGCCAACAAGUGACCACUGUGUAACGCUUUACCACAACCUUGCUGGCUGUUGCUGUUUAAGAUUACGUAAAGACAACACCAUCUAAACUUUGCACGCUGUCUUUAGUUAUUCAUGAUAACAACAUUCCACUGCCUAUGUUGCAGAAAUAGAUAUGUUAUUGACAAAGUCCAUGUGUUGCACGUUGUUAAGUGACUACUGUGUAACACUUUACCACAACCUUGCUGGCUUUGCUGUUGAAGAGUAUGUAAAGACAACAUCUAAAAUUGUUAUUCAUGAUAACAACAUUCAACUGCCUAUGUUGCUGAAGUAGAUAUGUUACUGACAAAGUCCAUGUGUUGCACGUUGUUAAGUGACUACUGUGUAACACUUUACCACAACCUUGCUGGCUUUGCUGUUGAAGAGUAUGUAAAGACAACAUCUAAACUUGUUAUUCAUGAUAACAACAUUCCACUGCCUAUGUUGCUGAAGUAGAUAUGUUACUGACAACGUCCAUGUGUUGCACGUUGUUAAGUGAUCACUGUGCAACGCUUUAUCACAACCUUGCUGGCUGUUACUGUUUAAGAGGAUGUGAAGACAACACCAUCUAGACUUUGCACCUUGUCUUUAGUUAUUAAUGAUGACAACAUUCAAAUGCAUAUGUUGCAGAAAUAGUUAUGUAAAUGACAACGUCCAUGUGUUGCACGUUGCACUACAACAAACAAUAGCAUUACCGUCCAGAUAUUUCCGAGGGCUUCAUUUACCCUCGGUAAUAAGUGCAUUUUACGAAGGCUAAGAAGAGCCGUCCGAUAUGCAUUAAAAAAUUCAUUAAUUUUUUCAAAGACAAAUUACCUUCGCUGAUAAAGAAUAAAGUGGUCGGUAAAUAGAUAACUAAUACUGAAAGUACAUUUUUGUUGUAAAGUAUAUUUUUGUUGUAAAGUUCAAAACAAGAUAAAGGCCUUUAGUGCAUGGGCUUUGCCUAAUUAAAAGUGAGAACAUAAUUUUAGUGACUAAUUAAAUUCUAAAUUGAACUUUUAAUAGGGUCUUGCUUUUGCUAGCUUAAAAAAUUAGAUAAAAACACAUAUAUUUCCACCAAUUAAAAAUAACUCAUUUAUGUCGAAGCUCGAUCUCUCUAGGAUGAACCAUUUCGGAAACAUUGAUGAAAAGGAAAAAAAAAUAUUAAUUUACUAUAUUCUAAGAUAAUCUUUUUUCAUAUCUUAUAUUUUCUUUUCGUUUUUCCUUCUUUCAAAAGUAAUUCCUUUAAAUUAAAGCCAUAUUUUAGCUAAAAGAUACAGAUAUUCAUUCCAAAAUUUUAAAAGCACAAUAAACUGACAAGCAAGAAUCUAGUCUAACCACGUCAUUGAUGGAUAAAUUCUACUUAAUUUAGACCUUAAGAGUGUGGGACAUGCCGAAUUUUAAACUUCAGCCGUAGAUCAGCUAUCUGUACCAAGCGCUAGUAUUGGCCGCCUCACACUCAUGCGCCCACUUGAUCUA
rnacentral:lncRNA from 1 species